CAGCACCUCAAGUGGUCAGGAUGAUUAUUGAGCCUAAAGCGUCCGUAGCCGGACUAGUAAACCCUUGGGUAAAUUGGGCAGCUUAACUGUCCAAAUUCCGAGGGGACUGCUAGUCUUGGGACCGGGAGAGGUCAGAGGUACUCCAGGGGUAGGGGCUAAAUCCUGUAAUCCUUGGGGGACCACCAGUGGCGAAGGCGUCUGACUAGAACGGAUCCGACGGUAAGGGACGAAACCCUGGGGCGCGAACCGGAUUAGAUACCCGAGUAGUCC
rnacentral:rRNA from 1 species